GGGAAUGUGGCUUAGUGGUAAAGUGCUUGCCUAGCAUGCACGAAGCCCUGGGUUCAAUUCCUCAGUACUACUU
rfam:Dipodomys ordii contig_5287, whole genome shotgun sequence.